CCUACGGGAGGCAGCAGUGGGGAAUAUUGGGCAAUGGGCGCAAGCCUGACCCAGCAACGCCGCGUGAAGGAAGAAGGCUUUCGGGUUGUAAACUUCUUUUCUGAGGGACGAAGAAAGUGACGGUACCUCAGGAAUAAGCCACGGCUAACUACGUGCCAGCAGCCGCGGAAAUACGUAGGUGGCAAGCGUUAUCCGGAUUUAUUGGGUGUAAAGGGCGUGUAGGCGGGGAAGCAAGUCAGAUGGGAAAACUGAGGGCUCAACCCUGAACCUGGAGUUGAAACUGUUUUUCGUGAGUGCUGGAGAGG
rnacentral:rRNA from 1 species